AUAUUCUGUUCCUCAAGACAGGUCUCAUUCCCUAUAAAAAAGCCAGUUUGUUGGGGACACCACACCAGAUCUGAGUAACCACGCAGCUUGCCCUUCUCCAUGUAGCAGGUCCAGCUGCCUAUGAGGCAUGAGUUCCCACGAGCAGAAGAAGCCCUGAAUCCCACUUCCCCAGCCUCAGCAGCAGCAAGUGAAAUGUCCCUGCUCCUCAACAGUCGACUCCAGCACCAGCUCAACAGAAAACUAAGCAGAAGUUAGGUGGGCUACAGCCUAGCCCUAGAGGAACCAGCCAUCAGAAGUUGACCUUCCCUACUCUAAUUAGGAGUCCCAUUUACCUUACUGUCACCCUGAGUCACAGACCUUCUUAAUUUACACCCUAAAUAUGUGUGCCAUGAAACUUUCCUUCCUAAACACACAGGGCCUCUAACCUCUGAGUUAGGCUGAAGGUCUGGGUACCUUAGAACCUUAGCCAUCAGGUGCUCUGGAUUCACCUGAAAGAGGGGCUUAAGGUGAAUACAAGUGGAUCAGCUUUGUUCUUCCACUAUUAAAUGCAUUUUCAAUUCCA